rfam:Candidate division NC10 bacterium CSP1-5 XT15_C0010, whole genome shotgun sequence.
CCAUGAACUCCGAACCAUGAACCAGGAUGCCCGCGGAUUAAAGGGAAGCUGGUGCGAGUCCAGCACGGUCCCGCCACUGUGAGUGGGGAGCCUCUCUGCAUCAUGCCACUGUCGUGGGCUGAUAGUCGCACGAUGGGAAGGCGCAGGGGGGUGACGAUCCACGAGUCAGGAAACCUUUUCCGGGGGAAUGUGAACA